CCUACGGGCGGCAGCAGUGAGGAAUAUUGGUCAAUGGACGAGAGUCUGAACCAGCCAAGUAGCGUGAAGGAUGACUGCCCUAUGGGUUGUAAACUUCUUUUAUAUGGGAAUAAAAUGUUCCACGUGUGGGAUUUUGUAUGUACCAUAUGAAUAAGGAUCGGCUAACUCCGUGCCAGCAGCCGCGGUAAUACGGAGGAUCCGAGCGUUAUCCGGAUUUAUUGGGUUUAAAGGGAGCGUAGGUGGAUUGUUAAGUCAGUUGUGAAAGUUUGCGGCUCAACCGUAAAAUUGCAGUUGAAACUGGCAGUCUGGAGUACAGUAGAGGUGGGCGGAAGUCGUGGUGUAGCGGUGAAAUGCUUAGAUAUCACGAAGAACUCCGAUUGCGAAGGCAGCUCACUGGACUGCAACUGACACUGAGGCUCGAAAGUGUGGGUAUCAAACAGGAUUAGAUACCCGAGUAGUC
rnacentral:rRNA from 1 species